AAAUAAAACGAAGUUAUAUAAACUAAAUUAUUUCAUCUUUUCUUCUAUUUUCAUACUUGGUUCUCAUAUUUGUAUUACGACAGUUCUAUUAGUAUUCUGUUUGUUUUAAGAUCAGUCUGCAGGUGACGUUUGGAUUGGAGCACACGAUUUUUACGCGAGGGACGUUUUGUAUGGGAAGUUGACAAUACAUCACUUACAUAUACUGACUGGUAUCCUGGUGAACCAAACAACUCUAAUAACAAGGAAGACUGCGCAUGUCUGAAUUCUGAUGUAGAAUACAAAUGGAACGAUAAUUAAUGUUCACAGA
rnacentral:lncRNA from 1 species